UGUCAAUUAGCCUUAAUUAAAAUCUUAUUAAUUAACCUUUCUUACAGCAUGUAGCAUCGAGCCCGUUUGCUGAGAGCUCCAAACAACAACCAAUCGAGUGAUGAGCCAAAGGAACCCGUGAAAUCUGCGCGCUCGGGGGAGGAUGACACCAAUAUUCACAUCCACGCAAAGUUUCCCAGCGUUUCAUCUCGACACUUUCUGCCCAUCUGCACGCCUGAAGUCCCGUCCAGAGAAUCAGACAGCUGCUGGAAGAGGGAGUUUCAGCAUCCUCCUCCUCCGUCAUUAGUCGAGUUCAGACUCUCACCGCACUGUCGGCAUCAGCGCUGGAGAAAACAGCUUUACUGGCUAGGCACAAGGAUUGUUCAGUUACGCAACUCGAGAGACACAAGAUUAAGGAUACAUGUGAAGAUGAGAGGUCAACCAACUGGCUGUCUGCAAAUAAAUGGAAGGACCUAAACAAUGAGUCAACUUUCAUCUGCUGUUUAACGGUUUUGUGAACGCCUAGCUUCUC
rnacentral:lncRNA from 1 species